UACGAAGGGGGCUAGCGUUGCUCGGAAUUACUGGGCGUAAAGGGAGCGUAGGCGGGUUAUCAAGUUGGAGGUGAAAGCCCAGGGCUCACCUUGGAAUUGCCUUCAAAACUGAUAGCCUAGAGUAUGAUAGAGGUAUGUGGAACUCCGAGUGUAGAGGUGAAAUUCGUAGAUAUUCGGAAGAACACCAGUGGCGAAGGCGACAUACUGGGUCAUGACUGACGCUGAGGCUCGAAAGCGUGGGGAGCAAACAGGG
rnacentral:rRNA from 1 species